rnacentral:rRNA from 1 species
GAUGAACGCUAGCGGCAGGCCUAAUACAUGCAAGUCGAACGAUACCAGAGAGCUUGCUUUCUGGGAAAGUGGCGCACGGGUGCGUAACGCGUAUGCAACCUACCUUAAUCAGGGGGAUAGCCUCUCGAAAGAGAGAUUAACACCGCAUAAAAUCACUUCGGCAUCGAAGAAUGAUCAAAUAUUUAUAGGAUUAAGAUGGGCAUGCGUGACAUUAGCUAGUUGGUAAGGUAACGGCUUACCAAGGCUACGAUGUCUAGGGGAUCUGAGAGGAUGACCCCCCACACUGGUACUGAGACACGGACCAGACUCCUACGGGAGGCAGCAGUAAGGAAUAUUGGUCAAUGGGGGCAACCCUGAACCAGCCAUGCCGCGUGCAGGAAGACGGCCCUACGGGUUGUAAACUGCUUUUAUACGGGAAUAAAUCUCGCUACGUGUAGUGAGUUGAAUGUACUGUAAGAAUAAGGAUCGGCUAACUCCGUGCCAGUAGCCGCGGUAAUACGGAGGAUCCAAGCGUUAUCCGGAUUUAUUGGGUUUAAAGGGUGCGUAGGCGGCCUAUUAAGUCAGGGGUGAAAGACGGUGGCUCAACCGUCGCAGUGCCCUUGAUACUGAUGGGCUUGAUUACACUUGAGGUAGGCGGAAUGUGACAAGUAGCGGUGAAAUGCAUAGAUAUGUCACAGAACACCAAUUGCGAAGGCAGCUUACUAAGGUGUCAAUGACGCUGAGGCACGAAAGCGUGGGGAUCAAACAGGAUUAGAUACCCUGGUAGUCCACGCCCUAAACGAUGAAUACUCGAUGUCAGCGAUAUACAGUUAGCGUCAAAGCGAAAGCGUUAAGUAUUCCACCUGGGGAGUACGCCCGCAAGGGUGAAACUCAAAGGAAUUGACGGG